rnacentral:rRNA from 1 species
CGUGCCAGCAGCCGCGGUAAUACGUAAGGUGCGAGCGUUAAUCGGAAUUACUGGGCGUGAAGCGUGCGCAGGCGGUUAUGUAAGACAGAUGUGAAAUCCCCGGGCUCAACCUGGGAACUGCAUUUGUGACUGCAUGGCUAGAGUACGGUAGAGGGGGAUGGAAUUCCGCGUGUAGCAGUGAAAUGCGUAGAUAUGCGGAGGAACACCGAUGGCGAAGGCAAUCCCCUGGACCUGUACUGACGCUCAUGCACGAAAGCGUGGGGAGCAAACAGGAUUAGAUACCCUGGUAGUCCACGCCCUAAACGAUGU